GUAGGCGAACCGACUGGAUCGCUUUUGCAAGGCGGGGGUUAGGGGUUCGAUUCCCCUCGUCUCCA
rnacentral:tRNA from 1 species